CACGCCGCACGCGCUCGCUGUCAGCACGCCUUACACACUGUUUGAAAAUCGAACGUCUCAAAAUUACGAUUUUUUUAAAAAUAUAUUUUGCUGCUAGUUCAUUUACAACCAGCAUUAAAAGUGACCAAAGAGUUCGUAUUAUGUUUGGAUUUCGACAAAAAUUUGUGAUGUCAUGUGAUAUGUGAUAGUGAAAAACGAAAUGAAAACCUUAAUACAAGUCCCAGAUACAUCCCAAACUGCUCCGAGACCUUCAAAGCGACAGGAAUCAGCGAGGCGUGCAAUGCCGGUCCGACGGUGGUAGCAGGCCGGAGGGCGGCCGGGGCUCGCGCGCCCCUCCGCCCGCCA